UGAAUCCUUGGUCAAAGUCUCGCGAUACGAUUUGAAUUUUCCGAGCUAGGACGAGAACAGUGAACAACAGAGCAAGCUCUGUACAAGCUGUUGUCGUUCGAAACUGAACGGAUAGGUGGGACCGAAGACAGAGGAAAAUAAGUGCUAGUAGCAGUGGGGAAGUAAUUAACGGCACUGCACCGGGACCACUGAUUAAUUAACCUGAAAUCGUUUGUGGAGAGCUCUGCGUUGCCUUUCGUCUCUGUUACUGUCUGCGGAACAAGUGUCACUGGCAACAGACGAGAGAUGUCGUCCUGAAUCCACUGCCCCCCUUCCAUAUGUGCAGGAGAUACUAAGGCCAGCCCUGCACACCACAUCAGAGUUUCCUGUUUUUAGUCCCGGCUCAAAGCAAGGAGAGUGGAACAGGGAGGAGACCACCAUCUCUCGCUGCUGGUGUGUUGAGAGAGAGAGAGAGGGAGAGAAGGGGGAAGGUUGUGGGGAGAAAGCAGCAUGUGUUUGAGAAAAGUGUGGUGCUGGUAGUGUCAGUGGUUUGGUUGCAGCUGUAAAGCUGCUGUGCUGAGUGCUGCUUUUGAUCUUUCAGUAUAGUGGUGCAGAUUGACAGAAUGCGGAGGGUCUGGUUUACUGCAGUAAGUGCUUACAAAGUAUGCACAUGCCACAUGUACACUAUGUGUGUGUGUGUGAGAGAGAGAGCAUGUUAUAGGCCCCUUUAGCUUUGUGUGUGUGUGUGUGUGUGUGUCCAGACAGCAGGGUUCACUGCCAAGGUGUAACCAAAGACUCUGAUAAACAUACACAUUGAGGGAUGGACUCCCACCGAACAAGCUGGACCUCAGUAGCAACCCUCUCCUAAGAUCACAGACAUUCUUUCUCCACAUCCCUGAUCACCACUCCCAGAAACACAAAGCACAUCGAUCACACAGAAUACAGUCAGUGCUGACACAAACUGUACUACAUACCUUUGGCUUAUUGUUGCUAUGAUGAUGAUCAUUCCGAGGCUAGCAUCAAGUUAUUUACUCAGUGUCAGUUCUGUUCUUUGGUCCAAGUUUAGGUUAAUUACGUGCUCAUUUGUUAUUUUAAGAUGGUAAUUUUAAAUCUGCAUUUGUAUUUCUGUA
rnacentral:lncRNA from 1 species